UACGUAGGUGGCAAGCGUUGUCCGGAUUUACUGGGCGUAAAGCGUGUGUAGGCGGACCUUUAAGUAGAAAGUGAAAGGUAGGAGCUCAACUCCUACAUUGCUCUCUAUACUGGAGGUCUUGAGUGUCGGAGAGGAAGAUGGAACUGCACGUGUAGCGGUGAAAUGCGUUGAGAUGUGCAGGAACACCAAUGGCGAAGGCAAUCUUCUGGACGAAAACUGACGCUGAGACACGAAAAGCCAAGG
rnacentral:rRNA from 1 species